rnacentral:rRNA from 1 species
AGUGAACGCUGGCGGUAGGCCUAACACAUGCCAGUCGAACGGCAGCACAGUAAGAGCUUGCUCUUACGGGUGGCGAGUGGCGGACGGGUGAGGAAUACAUCGGAAUCUACUUUUUCGUGGGGGAUAACGUAGGGAAACUUACGCUAAUACCGCAUACGACCUACGGGUGAAAGCAGGGGAUCUUCGGACCUUGCGCGAUUGAAUGAGCCGAUGUCGGAUUAGCUAGCUGGCGGGGUAAAGGCCCACCAAGGCGACGAUCCGUAGCUGGUCUGAGAGGAUGAUCAGCCACACUGGAACUGAGACACGGUCCAGACUCUUACGGGAGGCAGCAGUGCGGAAUAUUGGACAAUGGGCGAAAGCGUGAUCCAGCCAUACCGCGUGGGUGAAGAAGGCCUUCGGGUUGUAAAGCCCUUUUGUUGGGAAAGAAAAGCAGCAGGUUAAUACCCCGCUGUUCUGACGGUACCCAAAGAAUAAGCACCGGCUAACUUCGUG